rnacentral:rRNA from 1 species
CCUACGGGAGGCAGCAGUGAGGAAUAUUGGUCAAUGGACGAGAGUUUGAACCAGCCAAGUAGCGUGAAGGAUGACUGCCCUAUGGGUUGUAACCUUCUUUUAUAAAGGAAUAAAACGAGGCACGUGUGCCUUGUUGCAUGUACUUUAUGAAUAAGGAUCGGCUAACUCCGUGCCAGCAGCCGCGGUAAUACGGAGGAUCCGAGCGUUAUCCGGAUUUAUUGGGUUUAAAGGUAGCGUAGAUGGGUUGUUAAGUCAGUUGUGAAAGUUUGCGGAUCAACCGUAAAAUUGCAAUUGAUACUGGCAGUCUUGAGUACAGUUGAGGUAGGCGGAAUUCGUGGUGUAGCGGUGAAAUGCUUAGAUAUCACGAAGAACCCCGAUUGCGAAGGCAGCUUACUAAACUGUGACUGACAUUGAUGCUCGAAAGUGUGGGUAUCAAACAGGAUUAGAUACCCCAGUAGUC